rnacentral:rRNA from 1 species
UUCGUAACAAGGUCUCCGUUGGUGAACCAGCGGAGGGAUCAUUACCGAGUUUACAACUCCCAAACCCCUGUGAACAUACCAAUUGUUGCCUCGGCGGAUCAGCCCGCUCCCGGUAAAACGGGACGGCCCGCCAGAGGACCCCUAAACUCUGUUUCUAUAUGUAACUUCUGAGUAAAACCAUAAAUAAAUCAAAACUUUCAACAACGGAUCUCUUGGUUCUGGCAUCGAUGAAGAACGCAGCAAAAUGCGAUAAGUAAUGUGAAUUGCAGAAUUCAGUGAAUCAUCGAAUCUUUGAACGCACAUUGCGCCCGCCAGUAUUCUGGCGGGCAUGCCUGUUCGAGCGUCAUUUCAACCCUCAAGCCCCCGGGUUUGGUGUUGGGGAUCGGCGAGCCCUUGCGGCAAGCCGGCCCCGAAAUCUAGUGGCGGUCUCGCUGCAGCUUCCAUUGCGUAGUAGUAAAACCCUCGCAACUGGUACGCGGCGCGGCCAAGCCGUUAAACCCCCAACUUCUGAAUGUUGACCUCGGAUCAGGUAGGAAUACCCGCUGAACUUAAGCAUAUCAAU